AAUGGACAAUUGACAAAGGUUAGUUUACACUUUUCCAACAUUCCAACAUUAUACGAGGAUAUGGAAUGUCAUAAUCCAAAGUCCACAAAAUUAAGAAUUGUCAUAAUCAUAAUUUCAAUAACAAAACCCGAAAAUUAGACAAGGACCAUUGGAAGGAAGAACUGCACCUUGUGUAGUUCAUUUUGAACUCAACUGAACCCUCAUGCCACCGUUUGAAUUAAGGCUUCAUUUUUUACUCAGUUUUUAUGAUAUUACAACCUAGUGAACCUACACAAUGCCAAUAAAGACCUUGGAAUCCCAAGGUUUUUGUAAUUUACACUAAACCAAACCAAAACCUUGGAAUUCAGGCAUUGAAUUGUU
rnacentral:lncRNA from 1 species